rnacentral:rRNA from 1 species
CCCUUAGAUGUCCGGGGCCGCACGCGCGCUACACUGAAGGAAUCAGCGUGGCUUUCUCCCUGACCCGAAAGGGUUGGGAAACCCGUUGAAUCUCCUUCGUGAUAGGGAUUGGGGCUUGAAAUUGUUCCCCAUGAACGAGGAAUUCCCAGUAAGCGCGAGUCAUAAGCUCGCGUUGAUUACGUCCCUGCCCUUAGUACACACCGCCCGUCGCUACUACCGAUUGAACGGUUUAGUGAGGGCCUCGGAUUGGUCUCGGCCCGCUCUUUACCGGGCGGCGCCGUUGGUCGAGAAGACGCUCGAACUUGAUCGUUUAGAGGAAGUAAAAGUCGUAACA